rnacentral:rRNA from 1 species
UACAGAGGGGGCAAGCGUUGUUCGGAAUUACUGGGCGUAAAGGGCGCGUAGGCGGCCUGCUAAGUCGAACGUGAAAUCCCCGGGCUCAACCCGGGAACUGCGUCCGAUACUGGCAGGCUUGAAUUCGGGAGAGGGAUGCGGAAUUCCAGGUGUAGCGGUGAAAUGCGUAGAUAUCAGGAGGAACACCGGUGGCGAAGGCGGGUCUCUGGGCCGAUACUGACGCUGAGGAGCGAAAGCAUGGGUAGCGAACAGG